rnacentral:misc_RNA from 1 species
UGUUGAAUUUCUCGACGUCAAAAGGAAAGAUGGCGUUGAUGGGUGCGCACGGUUGCUAAAUUUUCUCAGGCGUUUUUAAUUAUUCAGAAUACAUAAUUGAUGUUAAAUGAAAUUAGAGUUUUUAAAAAGUUGAAUUUCUCGCAAGUUGUGUACGUGCUUUGUGAAUUUCGAGUCGAGAUGCAAUGAUUUCAUGCAGAAAACUCGAAACACUUCAAACUUUUGAAAGGAAAAUUCCAAUUCAGUUUUUCUGUGUAUACGUGAAUGGAAAAAAUUUGCAACACCCUAGAAAUAUGUACUCGAAUCGAAUGUAAAUAUUAAGAAAAAUUAUCUGUAUCAUAAAUAAAUGUUAAAUAAGUGCCAAGUGUUUUAUUAUAAAUUGAUUAAGUGUUUAGUUUCUGUGGUGUACUUUUAAAAAAAGUGAAUGAUUGACAUUUGCUCAUUAUCAUAUUAGUUAAAAAAAUCCUACUUCAAGUGAGAAAUCCCCCAGCGGAAACACCCUUCAUCAACUUUUUGCAGCUGUGUAUUUGCUGUGGUAGGGUACAAGGACGAAAGGAAUACAUAUUCAUUCACAACUUUAAAACAUAGCGAACACUUGUACAUAGUGAACACUUACACAUAGUGAACACUUGCUUUAAAGUCGCAUUCAACUUGUAAAUUCAUAUGUAGCUUCUUUAACCCUCAAAAUACCAAUUGAAAGGAUAUGAACGAUCAGAACUUAACCACUGUCUUACAAUUAUCGUAUGAAAAUUUUCAAAUCAACGAAAAUUAUUGAAGACCAUUUAUCAAUUGCACUUCCGAGGAUGCGAUGCUAAAUAACCAAAUCAAUACACUAAAUCGAUAAUGUAAUAUAAGCCCCUUUGGGAGUAAAGGGUCAACGGACAACGAAACAGUUAUUUGAGCAUACCAAUUUACGUAAAAUUUAGUUUAAUAUAAAUUGAUUUUAACUUGUUUUAAACAAAUUUAAAAAUAAAACUUGCCGCAUAACAAAACCACGAAAUUAAACUUGGUCAAAAAAAAAGAAAGAAAAAAAACAAAAGAAAACGUAGAAACCAGUUAAUCGACUAAUCGAAAAUAUAAAACGCCCACAUUCAUUCCAAAUAAAAUACACUCGGGAAAAUAGAAGAAAGAAAUGUUGAAAAAUACAAAGCAAAUGAUCCGAGCAAGGAAGCAACAAAUCCAAUGUGAAAAUAAUAUUAUAUGAUGCUCAUGUUUGAUUAAAUUGUGCAAUAAAUACGUAGGCUAAUGAUUGUAAAAUAAAAUUUGUUUUAAAUAUAAUAGUAGCAAUAGGUAUCUUUAAAGUUGUGUUUAUUAAUUGUGUGACUAGAAGAGUGCGUUAUCAGUUUAUUAAUAUAUAAAUACUAAGCUAUUAGAUCAAUUCCAACCUAAUUCACUUAAUCAAAGUCAUAAACAGUACAAAAAUAAAUGUAAUCGGAAAGAAGAGUUUGUGUUUCAAGCAAGAAUAUAAGUCCGUUUUUACAAUAUACUUUAGCUUGAAGUGCAUCUACAACCGUCAGUAAAACAAUUUGUGUUGAAAAUCCAUAAAAAUUCUGGUCUAUAAAAUGUCUUUGGCCGAUAUGGGUACAGCGACUCGAGAUGGCGGCAUGGGCGGCGGCGGCGGUGGUGGUGUUGGUCUCAGCGGUGUGGAUGUUAGCAUGGGUGUACCAGGUGGACGUAUGACACAUUCGCUAAGUACUCCGUCUGGGGUCGAUGGUACGCCCUCCACUCCUCGACAUCGUGGUGGCAAAAAGUUAACCGUUCGCAUACAGAUGUUGGAUGAUUCGGUGACCAUGUUUCAAGUACAAGCAAAAGCACUUGGGCGUGUGCUUUUCGACCAGGUUUGUCGUCAACUGAAUUUGCUUGAGGCCGAUUACUUUGGUUUAGAGUAUCAGGAAAUAUCUACACACACCAAAUAUUGGCUAGACCUUGAGAAACCGUUAAAUCGGCAAGUUGGUCUGUCGCUUAUCGAUCCAGUGCUGCGUUUCUGCGUUAAAUUUUACACUCCGGAUCCGGCGCAGCUUGAGGAAGAGUAUACGAGGUAUCUAUUCUGUUUGCAAAUUAAACGAGACUUGGCCAAUGGCAAUUUGCAGUGCAACGACAACACCGCAGCUCUCAUGGCCAGUUACAUAGUGCAAGCAUCGUGUGGCGAUUAUGUGCCUGAAGAUUAUCCUGAUCACACAUAUUUGUCAUCAUAUCGCUUUGUGCCUCAUCAGGAUGCUACAAUGCAGCGCAAAAUAAUGGAAAAUCACAAAAAGCACGUUGGCCAAUCUCCUGCUGAGGCCGAUUUGAAUCUUUUGGAGACGGCUAGACGGUGUGAAUUGUAUGGAAUGAAAAUGCAUCCUGCAAAGGAUGUUGAAGGUGUGCCACUCAAUUUAGCUGUUGCUCACAUGGGUAUUGCUGUUUUCCAAAAUAUCACACGCAUUAAUACUUUCUCCUGGGCAAAAAUACGUAAAAUUUCAUUUAAGCGAAAGCGUUUUCUAGUGAAGCUACAUCCCGAAGGAUAUGGUUAUUACAAAGACACAGUUGAGUUCUUUUUUGAGGGGCGUAAUGAGUGUAAGAACUUUUGGAAGAAAUGCGUCGAGAAUCAUGGAUUCUUCCGCUGUGCUGCUGUGCAGAAUCAACCUAGACGGAAGGCGCGUGUUUUAUCCCGGGGAAGUUCAUUCCGCUAUAGUGGAAAGACACAAAAACAGAUAAUCGAAUUUGUUCGUGAAAACUAUGUGAAACGGCAGAACUUCCAAAGGUCACAGUCAUUCCGGCAAGGGCCAUUGAAUGCUAGUAGUCGAAGUCAGUCGCAUACCUAUGUGAACUCCAGCAUUUCAGCCAAUCCCCUUCUCCCAAUUGACACUGCGGACUGGGAUUAUCGCAAUCAAUGCACCGGCUCGACGACGCUUUCUCUGACGAAGAAGGCAGCGGAUACCUUGGAUCGCCGACAAGACAAUCCUAUAGACCACACGCGUUCUCAAGUCACAGCAGCCCAGGUGGAGAUCUAUCAGACGAAGAACUAUGCUCCGGAAUCGCCAACAUUGGCGGAGGACCAGGAACGCCCCUCGGCAGUGGCUAUGGACCAAAUGAAUUCGAACCGCUCUGUCUCUCCGCAGGGUCCGGGGUCGUGGAGUUCACCCAAUCACAGCAGUCAGCAGCACAACAGUAUGCGCGCCCAAGAUCAGGCUCGUGCGCAUCCAGGAGAUCACAGUUUAGAUUACCACGGCAUUAAUGGCAACAUGUCACUGGAUCGACGUGGGGAAGUGGGCACGCCGCAAAAUCGCUAUGAUCUAACAUUGGGAUCGGAUAAGUCGUCAUCGCUAUCUCGCUCAGAAGCCGGUACUUAUGAUGUAAUACAAGCUGAAAUACAACAUGCUAAGCGUCAUGAGUUACCUACGUGUGUUGCCAUGUCUAAUAAUAAUAAUGGUCCAAAUGCUGGCAACUCGGUGGAUGUUGAAAACGAUUCAAAGAAGAGAAAAUGGCCUACAGAGAAAUCUUACUUUUUGGCUAAAGAACUGCUUAUGACCGAACGUACAUACAAAAAAGACUUGGAAAUACUGAAUAAAUCAUUCCGUCAGGAGUUAUAUUCAGAAGAUAUAGAUAAUUUGCAACCUCUCUUCGACUUCCUCGACUCAAUGGCUCAGCAUCACAACACAUUCUUACGCGAGAUCGAGCAUCGUAUGGUGCUCUGGGAGGGGCGCGGAACGCACGAUACCCAUCGGAUUGGCGAUGUAAUGAUGAAAAAUAUUGCGGUUCUGCCUAUAUACGACGAAUAUGUACAAUCGCACAUGGAAAUCUUGUAUUGCAUGAAUGAAGUUUUUGAAACAGAUAAUCGGUUCCAGCAGACAUACAAAGAUUUUGAACAACGAAAACUGUGCUAUCUACCGAUCGGUGAACUACUUCUAAAACCACUAAAUCGCAUAUUACACUACCAACUCAUCUUGGAGCGAUUGUGUGAUUUCUAUACUGAGGAGCACAUCGACUAUUGUGAUUGUCAAGCUGUUUAUCACAUUCUACUAAGAACAACAAAACAGAUUCGUGAACAAUUGCCAGAGUCGGAAAAUUUCGUGCAACUUUGCGAAUUGCAACGGGACAUCUCUGGUUUUGACAAGUUGGUUCAAAACCAAAGGAGACUGAUCAGACAAGGCUGUCUACUUAAACAUUCGAAACGAGGACUGCAACAGCGUAUGUUCUUUUUAUUUUCAGAUAUUCUACUUUACGGCACCAAAUCACCUGUCGAUCAGUCAUUCCGCAUUUUUGGUCAUGUACCAGUGCGUUCAUUACUCACAGAAAAUGCUGAACACAAUACAUUCUCUAUAUUUGGUGGACAAUGUGCAAUUACAGUGAGUGCGGGCACCACUGCUGAAAAAACGCUUUGGCUGGCUGAACUAUCGAAGGCGGCAGCAGAUAUCAAAAAUAAACCCCCAGCACAAUUGACCUUAACUUCGCUGAAGAAUUGCAGCUCGUCAGAGGAGGGUCUCGAUUUGUGCGGUUUAACGAACGGUCUGACCGCUCAGCAAUUACAACAGCAACAGCAACAAAAUUUACAAAACAAAACGCCACCCUCGCGCAGCAACACUGCUCUACACGUUUGUUGGCAUCGUGGCGCCACCGUCGGCUUGGGCGAUCAUCUCAUAUCCGCUGAAAAUCAACUUUCUGGUUAUUUGUUGCGUAAAUUCAAGAACAGCUCUGGCUGGCAAAAGCUAUGGGUGGUCUUCACGUCGUUCUGCUUGUAUUUCUAUAAAAGUUAUCAGGAUGAAUUUGCAUUAGCGAGUUUGCCAUUAUUGGGAUAUUCUGUUGGUCCACCUGGCCAUCAGGAUGCUGUACAAAAGGAAUUCGUUUUCAAAUUGUCAUUUAAGAAUCAUGUAUAUUUCUUCCGCGCUGAAAGCGUCCACACUUAUAAUCGUUGGCUUGAAGUGCUGCGAAGUACUACUCAAACACAAGAUUUCAAGAAUAUAAAUACAACUACCGUUCACUGAAGUUAUCAUAUAUCUCCAUCGAGCUGGCGUAUUCACCUCUUGCGAACCACGAGAUACUACGACUACACAAGUACAUGUACACACAUAUGUACAUAUAUAUACGAAAUAAAUGGUAGUGCUCAUAUAUACAUACAUACAUAUGUAAUAAGUUUAUAUUGCUAAGGUUUUUUCAUCAAAUGGAAGGACCUAAAAGUUUUUCAAAGCCGCCAGCACACGGUAAUGGUAGUACACACUGCUAACCACUGCAGUAAUGGGGUCGGCAGGAAUAUUUUCCUUAAAUUGUUGGACUCAUACUAUGGUUUUCAUAUUGUUUAAUUUUUACUUGGUCUUAAUAUUAAAUGCUUGUUGCAUAUGAUUUUUCUUUUUAUUUUUAUAAAAUCAUAACUUUUUUACACACUUGACAAGGUUUUAUUUUUACACAAUUGUUAGUCUCGCUAGAUUCCUUGUAUAUAUCUUGUAGCAAUAUGGAAGAAUUACAUAUGUAUAUAUGUCGUGUUAUACACACACCAUUAAAAUAUAAAGCAAUACUUGGAAAAAAGUUGCUACAAAAAUGCUUUAAAAAAAAAAAGAAGUGCCUUUAAGUAUUUUUUACUCUUUACCCCUAACUACAUAAAAGUUAACAUAUAUUAUAUAAAUAUAUACAUAUUUUAUAUAUAACGACAACCUUUUAAGAGUUUACUCGUAUAUUGAUUCCUUAGAAUGAAAAUAUUUUUCGAUUUCAUAUGUAUAUAUAUAGUAUACUAUAUUGAAAAAAAUUACUCUGCAGUGAAAACCUAAACUAGUAUUUAAAGAAUGAAAAUAUCUUGAAAUUCACUAUAAGCGAGAAUAAUAUAAGUGGCAACUGGUGUAUAUUAUUUUUUUUUAUCCACUACCACUGAUUUGUUCUACUUUGAGACACCCUUUGUUAUAAGUGCACCCUUUUGGUUUUGCUUCUUUAUCAAUCUCUAUCAAACAAGAGACUAAGGUUCUGUCAUUUAGUAGGCCAUAAGAGAAUGACUAGAACUAGCAGUUUUCCUGCAGGGUAUAUAAAUACAUAAAUGCUUAAACGCAAUAGUGAAUUAAUACACGAAGAAAAUGUAUUGAACGAAUACUUAUUUAUAUACAUAUACACUGAAACGACAUAGAAAGAAAAAUGUAGCAAGAAAUAAAACAUUUCAAUAUUUGCAUUUAUCUUAGUAUUUUAAGGUUACGAAAAUUAUUUCCGUAACAAAUUCCACAAUUUAUAUUGACGGCCAAAAGUGCAUAUAUUUUUAAAACUUUUGUUAGUAUUAUUUUAUGUACUAAAUUUUAAUCGAAAUUUAACUACGAAUCUGAAAAUAAACUUUAAAAUUAAAAUUUCCAAAACCAAAAAACUAACAAUAUUUGAAAACGUUGAGAAAGUGUAGUAUAAAUUGAUUUUGAUACAGUAGAACUGAACAUCUUAAUAAACUAUGCAUAUAUAGUAUAAUGUUAAUAAAUUUUCAAUUAUAUAAUCGAUUAUAAACUAAUAAAGAAUCUAGAUCAUGUACCAAAUAAAAUA